rnacentral:rRNA from 1 species
GGGUUGUGAGGUUAAGCGACUAAGCGUACACGGUGGAUGCCCUGGCAGUCAGAGGCGAUGAAGGGCGUGCUAAUCUGCGAUAAGCGCCGGUAAGGUGAUAUGAACCGUUAUAACCGGCGAUACCCGAAUGGGGAAACCCAGUGUGACUCGUCACACUAUCAUUAACUGAAUCCAUAGGUUAAUGAGGCGAACCGGGGGAACUGAAACAUCUAAGUACCCCGAGGAAAAGAAAUCAACCGAGAUUCCCCCAGUAGCGGCGAGCGAACGGGGAGGAGCCCAGAGCCUGAAUCAGCAUGUGUGUUAGUGGAAGCGUCUGGAAAGGCGCGCGAUACAGGGUGACAGCCCCGUACACAAAAGCGCAUGUGCUGUGAGCUCGAUGAGUAGGGCGGGACACGUGGUAUCCUGUCUGAAUAUGGGGGGACCAUCCUCCAAGGCUAAAUACUCCUGACUGACCGAUAGUGAACCAGUACCGUGAGGGAAAGGCGAAAAGAACCCCGGCGAGGGGAGUGAAAAAGAACCUGAAACCGUGUACGUACAAGCAGUGGGAGCCCCACCACCAAAGCAUUUGCUGUACCGCGUUGACGGAGCGAAGCGACGUCAAACCGAUAAA